AUUGAACGCUGGCGGCAUGCCUUACACAUGCAAGUCGAACGGCAGCACGGGGCAGCCUGGUGGCGAGUGGCGAACGGGUGAGUAAUGCAUCGGAACGUACCUUUCAGUGGGGGAUAACGUAGCGAAAGUUACGCUAAUACCGCAUAUUCUGUGAGCAGGAAAGCAGGGGAUCGCAAGACCUUGCGCUGAUUGAGCGGCCGAUGUCAGAUUAGCUAGUUGGUGAGGUAAAGGCUCAACAAGGCGACGAUCUGUAGCGGGUCUGAGAGGAUGGUCCGCCACGCUCGAACUGAGACACGGUGCAGACUCCUACGGGAGGCAGCAGUGGGGAAUUUUGGACAAUGGGGGCAACCCUGAUCCAGCCGUGCCGCGUGAGUGAAGAAGGCCUUCGGGUUGUAAAGCUCUUUCGGCCGGGAAGAAAUCGCACGGGCUAAUACCCUGUGUGGAUGACGGUACCGGAAUAAGAAGCACCGGCUAACUACGUGCCAGCAGCCGCAGUAAAAC
rnacentral:rRNA from 1 species